rnacentral:lncRNA from 1 species
UUCUUUCUAAAUUUGGUCCUAAAAAGAUUUUCUACUUCAUACCACUAUUUUGCAUUUAAUAAAUUUGUAUUUUAUAUUUUCAGUGUUUCUUGUACCAUCAAAACUUCAAUGAAAGAUUGCACUCAUGUUGAAGUUGUGUAACUCCUAGUAUGAAAUUGUUUGAGGAAUUUUCCCCACUUUUAUUAAAAUUUACAGACGGUACCAGUUUUGUGUAAUUAUAACUUAACUGCAGUUUGAAAUGUUUAUAAUUUUUCUAAUUUUUCUUGAAUUGGGAGCUUUUUAUCUAAAAUCUUUUUAAGAAGGUAACAAUUUUUGUUUCGAACUCAUAUCUUUAGAACUCUCAUAAUGAGCAUGCAAAUUGAUUAAGAUUGAUUGUCAUCACCAAUUUUUGACCUUUUAAAAUUCCAUAUACCGUAUUUAAAUUUCAGUAUUUAAAAGACCAUUCUCCAUUGUUAAAGGAAAAUAUGAAUUUGCACAACUGAGCUACUUCAGGCUAUGAUCAAUUUUUGGAGUAUAAUUUUCAUGCUUAUGAUGUGCAUGAUGAUAAACUUAAAAGAAGGGAUAUUUUAUUAAACUAUGCUCCAAAAUAUUAGAAAAUGUUUGUGAUUUAUAGGUGUUAGCCAAUUACUAUUCUGUUCUUUUUUUAUUACCUCUUUUUUUUAGGUCUUUACAUAUCAGAUGUCUCCAAACUAAUAUAAGAGCUAUUAUUUAGAGCUCUCUAAAUAAAAGAAAAUACAGGUUACCAAUUUAAAAGCACAUCUGGUAUUUUUACUGUAUUUUAUGUAUGAAUUAAAAAUAUUAUUUGUAUAUUACAUUGAGAAUUACUUCAACUGCCAUGAAUGGAAAAAGAAAAUAUUGUGAGAUGCUUUGGAACAUUCUUGGGACAAUUGUACACUUGAUUAAAUACAAUGGAAAGGACAUUUCGUUAAGUGCAUAAAUUGGAUUCAGUGAACUGACCAGCACAAAGAAUUAUGUUGAAAAGCAUGAAAAAGUAACCAUGGUAGCAGCUCCAAGGAAGAUGGUUAAAUAAAUCUUCAACCAAGUCUGAGGCUUUACCAAGAAAAUAAGAAGGCAAGUUUAAUUAAGUCAAACAAGUUCUAUACAUUCUAUACAUUAUUUGAUAAAAAGUGUAUAUUUAGAGCAUACAACGCAGUUACAGUGGAGAAAGUGAUGUUGCUAACGUAAAAUGUUAUUUUUUGCCUUUCAAUGGGAGAUAACUCAUUGUAAAAUGUGCAGAUGAUUUACCUUUAUGAACAAUAAAAUAUGUUUAAACCAUUAUUUUUGUGGAGUUGAAAUUCAAUAAGUAAAUUUAUAAGACUUUUUUUUUAUUUUUCAUCUUUUACAUUGAUUUUACAGUUAUUGAUGUUAUACUUUUGUGUACACGUAGUCAGAAAUCUGAACAAUAUUGGUAAAUGUAGGGGAAA